rnacentral:rRNA from 1 species
UACGGAGGGCUCAAGCGUUGUUCGGAUUUAUUGGGCGUAAAGGGUGCGUAGGCGGCGCGGUAAGUCGGGUGUGAAAUCUCGGAGCUUAACUCCGAAACUGCAUUCGAUACUGCCGUGCUUGAGGACUGGAGAGGAGACUGGAAUUUACGGUGUAGCGGUGAAAUGCGUAGAUAUCGUAAGGAAGACCAGUGGCGAAGGCGGGUCUCUGGACAGUUCCUGACGCUGAGGCACGAAGGUCAGGGGAGCAAACGGG